rnacentral:rRNA from 1 species
AUACGUAGGUGGCAAGCGUUGUCCGGAAUUAUUGGGCGUAAAGCGCGCGCAGGCGGUCCUUUAAGUCUGAUGUGAAAGCCCACGGCUCAACCGUGGAGGGUCAUUGGAAACUGGGGGACUUGAGUGCAGAAGAGGAAAGUGGAAUUCCAAGUGUAGCGGUGAAAUGCGUAGAGAUUUGGAGGAACACCAGAGGCGAAGUCGAAUUUAUGGUCUGUAACUGACGCUGAGGCGCGAAAGAGUGGGGAGAAAACAGGAUUAUGUACCCGGUUAGUCCACGCCGUAAACGAUGAGUGCUAAGUGUUAGGGGGUUACCGCCCCUUAGUGCUGCAGCUAACGCAUUAAGCACUCCGCCUGGGGAGUACGGUCGCAAGACUGAAACUCAAGGGAAUUGACGGGG